CAUGCGUGCUACUGUGCAAGGCUUUUACGUGGGCUCUGGGGAUUUAAACUCCGGGCCUCGGCGCACUGACCCAUCUCCUGCGUUUCUGCUUUUGCCACGCCAGCUACACUGCUCCAGGAUUCCCGUGAGCUCUCCUCACCACUGCAGCCCCCAAGGUCACUCAGUCACAGAUUUUCAUUACUUGCUGAAAAAAACAAUGUGCGCUGUACAUCACGCCUGUUCUGGACAAGCCCUUCUCCUCCUCAGCAGUAACACCGAGUACACCGAGUCAACCUCACACAACCUUUCCCAGUCCUGACUAUCCAGCUACUGCAUGCUGUAUAGAAAGAAGACUCAGUCAUUCUGUGGCCCUGAACAGUGACAACCACAGAAAUCGUGGGUCUGUGUGUUAGUGCAGCCCUCGGAUCACCACACCACAGCCACAGGGAUGUAUAGUUAGAGGCAUCCUAGAACCGAAAACGCCGAGGUCAGCCAGAGGGAAUUUCUGAACAGAGAACAUACACGGCUGUAGAGAUCCUCACAGCCUAAGACCCUGAUACUCACGGUUGUACCACGUGAUGCUAGGACUCCACUCACUCCAGGUGCCAAGCUAUGAUUACAGGCAUGGGCCACUAAACCCAGCUCAACUCUACUCCUAUCUAUGCACUUACGACGGGUCGCCAUGAACAACCCACAAUAGCAAAUGU
rnacentral:lncRNA from 1 species